AAUCGCAUCGGUUCCAACGGCGGCCGUUUCCAAGGACACCCUUUCGUCUCCUCCGAUGACUCCACUCCCUCUUCCGUAACAGUCAUACCAGAUGGCUACCGUCUCAUCAAUCCUUUUCUCUUCCCUCGGUACACAACACAACACCAAUAACACCUUCCCAGUACCCACAUCCUCUGAUACUAUCUCUCUUUCCCUUCCCAUGGAAGAAACAUCUCCAAAAUAAUCCUUUUGAGUUCUCUCUGUAACAAGUCUGCCCCCUUCUUCAGGUCCUCCCUCACCCUCACCGCUCAAAGGCUGGCCAUCCCACAUCUACACCGAAGAACCCUAUGCAGGACCCCUUUCGCUUCCCUAGUAACAAAAAGUCUCAGAGGCCUUUCGAGCAGCUACGAAUGAAGCCUUUGAUCAUGAUGACUUCUUCUCAAAAGAAGAGGAAUCGGAAUGGUUAUCAUCACUUUACACAAAAAAAGAUGGCUCCAAAUCAAGAAUAUAUACUAUACAGGAGGAUGCUGGCAUAGAACGAAUCAAACGUUUUGGGAAGGUGAUUCCUUUCUUGCCCAAGGUAGAUCGAGAGGGAUCUUGGUGGCUUGGAGAGUACAUCUCAUAAAAAAAUAAUUUUUAUCAAGGUACUGCGUGAGAGAAGGUGAUGUGUCCUCUCGCAUGGCUUUUUGGGUGCUACGACGGCAACUUGCUCUCUGUCCUACCUGCUGCUUCUGCUGUGUCAUUUUUACCAGGGGAUCUGAUGCUCUCUCAGUGUGCUCUCCACGUGGAAAUCAUGCCUUGGUAGGUCAAACUUAUCACGAUCAGUCAUAAAAGUAGCAGAAGAAAGCAUCACCAUGUAGUUCCAUCCCAUUCAUAUCUUUUCCGCACUAGUUUAUCUUAUCAUAUUACCGUAUCGCUUUGUCUGGAAGCCUUUCUUUUUACCCUUUGC